rnacentral:snRNA from 1 species
ACCGCUUCUCGGCCUUUUGGCUAAGAUCAAGUGUAGGAUCUGUUCUUAUCAGUUUAAUAUCUCUUAAAACCAUGUGCUUUCUGAGAGCAAUUGAGUAGGUCAGAGGCAAAAACAAAAACCCUCU